AUUGUGCGGCAGAUCAUCUCGGAGGCGGCACUGACUUGGUGCCUUCCCGCCUCGAGGCCCCGCGCCGCGUUCAGGGAACCGCUGUGACGCGUCCGAACGUUACACCUGUUUUAAUGGAAGCCCAUUUUUGCUCGUGUUUACACUGGCCAAGGUUCAGUGCGAGAUGCAAUCUGUUAAAUUGCAGCUUGUUGAAGUCAGAAGAUAAGAAAGAUGUUUAAAUUCUCUGCGUCUUCCUGCCCCUGCUGCGACUCACGGGAUCCCAGCCAAUAAUUUAAGAGAAUGGACUGAGCAAUGAUGGGACAGUUAAUACAAAGAAGUAUUUUUAUGUGUGAUAAGAGGAGCUACGUGCUGUGGCACCAUGGAAAAAGCACAAUUUGGGGUCACAGGGGCAUCCUCAGAUUUCCCCUGCGCAUUAUCAUUCACGUUUGGCAGAAAUAGACUGAACAGGAAGGGGAACCUGGCAUGUGAACGCCGUUCAGAUGCCAGUCAAUGAUGAAAAAGACAUCAUACAUGUGAAAGUCACAAGGUAAAGAACAUCACGCUUAACUCAAGACAAAGACUGGGUUGAGGUGAGAACAUCCAUAGACAAUGGACCUAACCAUCCUUUACGUCUGCACCUCAGCUCCUUCCUGUCAGUGAAAUGUCUUAUUGUUUCAAAUGCAAUAAGUAAAGGUUGUUUAUAGUAUAAUUAUCUUUAUGCAUCCUACAACCAAUCCAGGAGCUGGUGCUAAGUCUAAACAGUUUCAGUGGUCAUAGUGGCCUCUCUCUCCCGGUGAAGCUUGAUACACUUCCUUUAUUAAGCAGCCGAUCGUUCUCCGCUUCAUCCGAAAUCAUUGUGGGGAAAAGGGGGACACAGUCAGUGGCACCGCUGGAGGUGGAGCAGCACGCGUCCGUCCCCACCCUGCUCCUUCUGACACAAUCAAGGGCAUAAUCGAAGAGGCCGAGCUCCGUAACGCAGCACGGUGCCGUUGGAAUACGCGCUCCCCUCACGUCCUAACGAUGGCUGCAUUAAAAAGGUAUCCAGCUCCCGAACCGACGCAGGCGGCCAAGGAGCUGCUACGGCAAAUCAGACAGAUUUAUGUCAAACCACAGCUGAACCCGUGAGUUCUGAGCAGCACUGGAGCCGUGUGAUGUCUCGUCUGUCUGCUCUCACACGAGAGGCGACACACACACACACACACACACGA